rnacentral:rRNA from 1 species
UACACCCUACGGGGCGCAGCAGUAGGGAAUCUUCCACAAUGGGCGAAAGCCUGAUGGAGCAACGCCGCGUGGGUGAAGAAGGUCUUCGGAUCGUAAAACCCUGUUGUUAGAGAAGAAAGUGCGUGAGAGUAACUGUUCACGUUUCGACGGUAUCUAACCAGAAAGCCACGGCUAACUACGUGCCAGCAGCCGCGGUAAUACGUAGGUGGCAAGCAUUAUCCGGAUUUAUUGGGCGUAAAGGGAACGCAGGCGGGCUUUUAAGUCUGUUGUGAAAGCCUUCGGCUUAACCGG